AAACGUAGGGGGCCAGCGUUGUCCGGAAUUACUGGGCGUAAAGCGCGCGCAGGCGGUCUAGUAAGCAGUGGGUGAAAUUCCAGGGCUCAACCCUGGGGCUGCUCGCUGAACUGCUAGACUAGAGUACGGGAGAGGGCAGUGGAAUUCCUGGUGUAGCGGUGGAAUGCGUAAAUAUCAGGAAGAACACCCGUGGCGAAGGCUGCUGCCUGGAACGUUACUGACGCUGAGGCGCGAAAGCUAGGGGAGCGAACGGGAUUAGAAACCCCAGUAGUCC
rnacentral:rRNA from 1 species